UUCUUUUAUUUGCUUUCCUGUCUAUUUCUUUCUUCUUUCAUUCCUCUUCCUCUAGUUCCCAUCUCCCGUGAUUCAUGUGGUUAGGUUAGGGAGAUGAUAGGAACAGAAGAGGAAGGAUGUGGAAGAACAAUGUAAAAGAGAAUGAUAAAUCCCUGACAUAUCUUCGUUCCUUAACUUUUGGUUUU
rnacentral:ribozyme from 1 species